rnacentral:rRNA from 1 species
GACGUAGGGCGCAAGCGUUGUCCGGAUUUAUUGGGCGUAAAGAGCUCGUAGGCGGCUUGCCACGUCUGCCGUGAAAACCCACAGCUCAACUGUGGGCUUGCGGUCGAUACGGGCAGGCUAGAGUUCGGUAGGGGAGACUGGAAUUCUGGUGUAGCGGUGAAAUGCGCAGAUAUCAGAGGAACACCGGUGGCGAAGGCGGGUCUCUGGGCCGAUACUGACGCUGAGGAGCGAAAGCGUGGGGAGCGAACAGG